CAGGUAAAACAGACAGUCGCCGCGUAUCGCGUAAGGCAUACGGGGAGGAAAGUCCGGGCUACACAGAGCAGAAUGCCAGCUAACGGCUGGGCGUGGUAACACGACGGAAAGUGGAACAGAAAGCAAAACCGCCGAUGAUUGCAUUAUUGCAACAUAGGUAAGGGUGAAAAGGUGCGGUAAGAGCGCACCGCGCAACUGGCAACAGCUUGUGGCAGGCUAAACCCCAUUCGUAGCAAGACCAAACAGAACACAUUGACGCUGCUCGCCGAGUGUUUGGGUAGGUUGCUUGAACGUGCUGGCAACGGUACGUCUAGAUGAAUGACUGUCCAACGACAGAACCCGGCUUAUCGUUUUACCUGUCUC
rfam:Kingella kingae ATCC 23330 genomic scaffold SCAFFOLD4, whole genome shotgun sequence.